AAGUCGUAACAAGGUUUCCGUAGGUGAACCUGCGGAAGGAUCAUUAAACAAAUUUUAAUUCCACCGUCAACCAACACAAAUCGUAUUGCGUCAGCAAUAUGAUUUGUGUUCGUUGCUUUUUCUUUUUCUUUACCAGCCAACUGUUCACGCAGUUUUUAUUUACGGGCCAACUGCUUACGCAGUUGAGUUGUAGAUAUUUGAUUCAACUGCGUAAGCAGUUGGCAGUAAAGAAAAGAAAAGAAAAGAGUUAUAGCGAUAGCUAACGCCAUCGCAAUAACACUUUUCGGUACAGACGAUAUAUAUGUUGACGAACACAGACAAAUAAUGUAAACAACUUUUAACAAUGGAUCUCUUGGCUCUUA
rnacentral:misc_RNA from 1 species